UGCAGAAUCCCGUGAACCAUCGAGUCUUUGAACGCAAGUUGCGCCCGGAGCCUCUGGCCGAGGGCACGCCUGCUUGGGCGUCACGCCUCUAGGCGCUCCCCUCCCACUUGAGUUCAGCAGCUUGAUGCUGGCCUUGCUGGGGGUGGAUGCGGAUAUUGGCCUUCCGUGGCUUCACGCCGCGGUGGGCUGAAGGAUGUGGAGUCGGUCCGUCCAACGUUAUUGGGCAUGACUGUGCUGGGUCGCUGCUGCUACUGCUCGUUGCUCGUUGGGUGCGGCAGUCUUAGCAAAUGCGGGCAUCGUCGUUGUGCCGAGUAGCCUUGUUGUCGGACUCUCACGCCAGUAAAGUUACCACGACGGGUAUAUCAGCGGUCACACCGUUGGUUCCUCAUGUAGCGACCCCAAGUCAGGCGGGAACACCCGCUGAGUUUAAGCAUAUUAAUAAGCGGAGGAGAAGAAACUUACAAGGAUUCCCCUAGUAACGGCGAGCGAACCGGGAAAUGCCCAGCUUGAAAAUCGGAAGGCUUCGCCCUCCGA
rnacentral:rRNA from 1 species